rnacentral:rRNA from 1 species
CCUACGGGGGACAGCAGUGAGGAAUAUUGGUCAAUGGCCGGAAGGCUGAACCAGCCAAGCCGCGUGAGGGACGAAGGUGCCAAGCAUUGUAAACUUCUUUUGUCAAGGGACAAAAUCAGGCUCGAGAGCCUGACCGAGGGUACUUGAAGAAAAAGCAUCGGCUAACUCCGUGCCAGCAGCCGCGGUAAUACGGAGGAUGCGAGCGUUAUCCGGAUUUAUUGGGGUAAAAGGGUGCGCAGGCGGAGGCACAAGUCAGCGGUAAAAUAGCGGGGCUCAACCCCGAACCGCAGUGGAAACUGUGUCCCUGGAGUGCGCGAAGGGUAGGCGGAAUGCGUGGUGUAGCGGUGAAAUGCAUAGAUAUCACGCAGAACUCCGAUGGCGAAGGCAGCCUACCGGCGCGCAACUGACGCUCAUGCACGAAAGCGUGGGUAUCGAACAGGAUUAGAUACCCGGGUAGUC